UCCGCCGCCCGAGCUUCUGAACGCCUCAGGAGGCUUCGGGUUGCCUGAGCCUGUGGGGAAGGGAAAUAAAGCCCGGCCGAGGCAGGAGGCGGCGAAGGGCCCCGCGCGCCCCACAGCCCAGACAAAGCUGCGUCAAGAGAGCGGCUUUUUUUUUAUCCAGUCGGGUCCACCGAGGAAACCAAGUCGGGCUCCGCCACACGUGCGGCAGCCCGGCGGGGGCCGGACACCGCCCCCACAACCACCGCCCCCACAACUGCCGACCCCGCAGUACCCACGAGCACAGCCCCCGAGCGCCUCAGGGCGGGGCAAGGGGCGCGAACGCCGGCCAGGGUCCCCGCCCGCAGCGGCCCCGACACGCUCGAGGCCCCCGCGGACUCCCGCCCCUCGCCGGCCGUUCCUUCGCCGGCCGGACCGUCGGGCCGCGAGAAACAAAGGAGCCGCCGCUGCUCCCACCCGCGCCCGCUUCACCGCGUACCCCUCCCCAGCGCGUCGGGCCAGGCUCGCCCUCACCCGUCCCUAGGUCCGCGCACCGGCUGCCUGCGGCCCUUAGACGGCAGGCCCGGCAGAGCCGGGGCCUCGGGUGCGCGGCCGGCCGGCUCGGGGCCGCACUCACCGCUGCAGCACCAGGACGACGGGGAGCCGUUGGGGAACUUGGCUGAGUCCGGAGCGAUGCAGACGCUGGAACUGAGGUGCGGGCACUCCAUGGCCACGAGGACCGUGGCAGGGAGGACAGAGGCUCCGGGGCCGAACGAGGCGGGGGCGGAGGGACUCUGGAGGCUCCGUCUGGGGUCGCUCCUCGCCGGGCGCUAGGCAGACAGCGGCUGCGUCCCGAGCCCUUGCGUCAAAGAAAGCAAGGGCUUCCGGGCGCCGGGUUUUCCCGCCCGCCCUCUCUCAGCACUCCGCUCCGAAGAACGUGGAAUUCCGGGAUCCGGGUUCUGCCGCCACCUCUAGACCCGAGGCUUCCGCCUUCCCGGUCAGGCCCCGCCCCCAAGGCCGGCUCCGCCCCUGUGCACUCCCGCGGGUGGGGUCUCCGCGCGCGCUACCCUCAUCUGAUAGCUCAGGUUCCUGCAGCGCUUGGAAGUGACUUUCCCAAUUCCGCUCCCCUGGGCGGCUGCGGCUUCCCUGACUCAGGGAAUGGGGCUACCGGGCCCCGGCAGACAAGUCCGGUCCGCUGCGUCUAUCGGGUCCGGCGAAGGAGACUGAUAUUGCUUGGCGUGUUGGUCUGACUACAACGCGGCUUAGUGGUAGAAAAAUCUGGCCAAGUAACAGAGGGACAGAAAGAAAAUACAAACCACUCGGGCAGACGGGCACCGUAACCCUCCCAUUUUACCAAGCAAGAAACAAGCCCGGGGAGAUUAAGCCUGGCCCCGUGUUUGCGCCAGUGGGCUGCUUGGGUCCCAGAGCAAUCUAAUUCUGUCCUUUGAGACAGGUGUGGUUCUGAGCCGGUUCUGAGUUCUGCGCACACGGCCGUAGCUGGAAGAUGAGUGGCUGAGCCCAUUGGGGCACCCACGAACCUGGAUUCAGACCUUGUCACCGUGAUUAACUUUCAGCGUUACCAGGAGCACGUCGUCCUGAACUUUACAAAUCUCUCUGCUGGAAAUUUAAGUGAAAUACAUGUAACCUGGUUUUCGAGGUCCCGCCAACAGGUGAUAAAAAGGGAAGGGAUCUAACAUUGUUGGACGCGCUGAACCGCUUCCCUGCCAGGCACUUUGCAAUACAAAAUACCUCAUUUAAGCUUCGCUAUACCCUACAACUGAUGUUACGUUUCUCUUUUUACCGCGGGGGACAUCGAGUCUAUUAAUUUGCUAAUCCGUGCCGAGAUUAGGUCCUCUGCUCUCUGGCCUAUUUUAGAAAAGAGUUUAUGGGAGGGCAAACCUCUAGGGGCUGCUUGGAUUCGCCUUACACCGGAGCCGGAGGAGCCUGCGACUUAACUAGGGACAGUCUUAAGGACACCAGGGCUGUUACAAAUAUUGCCUCAGAAGUUUGGGCUCCUUGAAAACCCGUGAAAGGAGCCACAAGGCCAGAAGGCAAGCAAGGGGAGGGGGAAGACUGAUGUAGCAAUUCAAUGGGCAGAGUGGGGGGGGGGGAAGGAAGGUCCGGAAAUUAUUAACUGGGCCGGGUAGUGGUUAGAGUGGGGCACCUCCCUGAAGUGCAAUCUUGGAGCAGCCCAAGGUCACUCCCUUGGUCACUUCUCACUACUCCCUCAACCCCAGCAGUCCUCUGCUAAUGGUGUCCACCUUCCUGCAGCAUCUUUGAGACCUUUCCCCCCCUUUGUUUCUUCAAAGUUCCUUUGCCCUUUUUCAAAUUAUAUUAUUGAAGUUAUUGCAGUGAGGAGUUGUGGAAAGUGCAUAGGAAGCCAGGUAAGCAAAUGUUCAAAUCUUAAUUCUGCCAUUAUUUGGUGGCUAACCUUAGCAAGUGUUUUUAGUCCUUACCCCUCCCCCAACUUUUUUCUUAAUCUGUAAAACUGGAAAAAUAAUACGUAUCUGAAAAAGAAAUUAAAUCACGAGAUUUACUACCAUGUAGUAGGUAUUAAAUAUAGUUUUGUUUAUAACAGCAGUUGUGGGAUGCUUCCCACAGGAUAAACAAUAAUAUCUAACCUUUGCUCAAGCUCUUCCAUCUAUCUCCUCCUACCAGCCUAUUUAUCUUUCAGGCUUGGCUCAACCAAUCUUCUGUUUCUCUCAGGACAUGUUCCCCAUUUGGUAUCUAUAGCCCCUCAUUUGGCCAUGGAACAGUCUGACUCAUGCUGUCUUAUACUGGUAUGUAAUGUUACUUUUUUCACCCUCUCAGAAACUGUUUCCUAAUCCCCUAAACCUCAGUUUAAACACCACUUCCUGCAGGGAGGCCUUUUCUGACCCUGCUCCACCCCCAGGGUACCUCCCAGGGUGUGAUGCCCUUGACUGCCCCCACACUGCCUUUAUAAAACAUUCUUCUGCAUGUAAUUAUUUGUUUAAUGUCUGUCUUCCCCUUGGAGGUCCGUAAGGGUAGCAAACAAGUCUGUCUGGUUUCCUGCUUUAUUUCUAACAUAGUAUGUAGAACAUGGAAGGUGUCCAAUAAAUAAAGGGUUCAAUGAAUGGAAGAGUGGGUGAGUGAUGCUUUAGCAAUAUUUAGGAAGAAAGGAGUUUAGGAAGUGCCUAUAUAUAUAUAUAUAUAUAUAUAUAUAUAUAUAUAUAUGUAUCAGGUAUUUUCCACCUUGAGAGUAAACUGUACAUUUCAAUUCUGAGUUUGUGAUUUUAAAAGGAUCAGACAUGUUAAAGCAUCUUGUAAGGUAUAAACUGCUAAAACAGAUAUAUUAGUAUUAUAUAUUAUAGUAUUAUUGUCAUCUCUCCAUAACCAGAAUAAAAAUUCCGUGGAACAGGGGCCCUAUUUUGGCCAUUCUUGAUUUUGGUCGUCCCCUAAAGGGUAGACUCAGGCAGUCCAAAGAAGUCCAAUGGAAUCAGAGACCAGUUUCCUGGGGCUUUUGGUAGCCUGCCCUAAAACAGAGAACUUUCCUGUGUCUUUGAAAGUUUUCACAGUAAGAAAAAUUUGAAGGGGGGGGAACCCCUCAGUGAGUAAAUGUGUCAAACGGGGGAAGGCCAUGGGGCACCCUGGGAAAUCUGCCUUUUCAUCCAUGGAUUCUGCAGCUGCAUUUAAUACAACCUUCGCUUUUUUGUUCUUGGCUGGCAUGCCUUUGGCUCCCAAGAGCUCCGACUUACAUACCAGCAUGCCCAGAUAGUGAGGAGGGAGCUUCCAGCUCCAUUGCUUUGCACCACCGUUUCCACCACCCCAUACCCUACCCAGCCCCCUGGAUAUCUGCUGGGGCUACCAGCCCAAACACCUGCCAGAAGCAGUGGGCCUAUUUUAAAAGUGUGCAUUUUUUGCACAGGGGAGGAAUGCGCAAUUCCAACAGUACUAUCAAAUGAUUCUCGUAUAAAGAAUGUGUAUAUACAUUGGAGUGGGAAGAAGUGAAAGAAGGGGAUGUUCCCAGAUGCAUAAGAACUGUGAUCAGGAAAAAGCUCAAGGUUGCUGCAACCUGCCAAAAAUUUAGAUUUGUGACUUAUGGUAGAAUCUGUGGUCCUCAAGAAUUACAAAGCUGACCAGGCCCUGUGAAAAAGUAGCUCUGACUAUCCCCAUUCAGGUAAGACUGAUUAGAAACACCCAGAGAGCUGGCUUAAAUAUUUACUAUAGAGAUUUUUCUAAGAGCAAACCUCCUUGGAAAACCAAAGUUAGAUCAAGAGGAGGCUUCAAAGCAUUGAAAAGUGUUGGGGGUGGAGGAGCAUCAGCUCAAAAACUCUUCUAUCACCAGGUUUCAUUUUCCUAGCAGCACUGAUCUGAUAUUUUGUUGCUUGUUUACUUAUUUAUCUAUUAUCCAUAUCCUCAUGAGAUUGGAGACCUUGCCAGUCUUGUUCGAAGCCUGAUUGCCAACUCCUGGAAUACAGCUUGAUAUAUGCCAGGCCUCAGUAACUAUUUGUUAAAUGACUAAAUAAAAGGGGAACAGGGGAAACAGCUCAGAAUCCACAUCCUCAAGGCUCUGGGUUCAAUCCCCAGACAGCAAACCCACUCACCCAUCCCCCAAAAAAGGGGUGAUGAUGGGCAUGGGCUUCAGCAGAUGCACCCUCACUUUCUUACCCAAGAAUAUUGGUGGUGUCAUUCUUCUCACUUCUUUCCAUUCACCCCUUUCACAUUACCUCCCCUACAUAGUCACCUGUCACCUCCCUUUUGCUAAAGUUUUUGUGUGUUUUUAAAAAAAUUGUUCUAGCAGUACCUAAAAUCAUUCUCCUAUUAUACAUAAUGUUCUUCCUCACCACUCUGUGCCCUUCUCAUCUGGUACCCUUCUACCUGGCCACCUCCUUCUCCUCCUUCAUUAAACACAGUGCCUUCUCAGGGCAAUCCUCCAUCACUCACACAAGCUGACUUCAAAGUCUUCCCUCACUACCACCCCCACCACCCCCAUCUUCUGUCCCUGCAGUUUGUCACAGAGUGCUGUUAUUUUCUGGUCACAUUUUGGUCUCACUUGAGAGGUGUUUUUAUUUUCAUCCAUGUUCUUGGUAUUGAGUAAGCAACAGCAGAUAUUAAAACCAAUUAUAUUUGUUGAUAGAGGUUUUCGUUUCUUCUUUAAUCCCUGGACGAUAAAUAAUACCACCUUCAUUUUACUAAAAUGGAGAGAACUAAAGCUUAAAGAGGGUUAAAUAAUUACAUACAUUUGUAUAACUAGUAAUUGUUCAUUUAUCAGAGAAGGCAAAGUUUUUAUCCUUUCUGUACAUGGUCAUCUAAAUGAUUUUGCAGUAUUAUAUGAAGUUACUGAUGAGAGGGAGUCUUAGAAACCACAGGACACAGAAGAGCCUUCUGAGUAAAUAAUCAUUAUGUUUACUACCACUGUAAUAAUUAUAUCAACAUCUUAAUUUGUAUUGCCUUUGCUUUCGUCUUUAUCUCUGAGAGCCUCUUUUGUGAAGAUGAGGUUUUCCUGUUUAAAGACCUCUUUGCAGAUAAAAUACUGAUGGAUUAAGCACCACAGAAUGGCUCUAGCACCAAACAACCCCCAACAGGGAAGGAGUCACUGCUUUCCCUGGCCCUAGUCUUUCCAUUUGCAAAAUCUGAGGUUUGAACUUAAUAAUCACUCUUACAUGAUUGAGCACCCACAAUCUGUGAUAGCUCAUGGCCACCUAGUGACACUAACAGAAGGAAGACCAUCUCUCUGUGCUACGGCAGUGAUCACUAACUAUUCAUCCCAAAUCUUUUUCUUUUCCUUUUGGGUUCACAAAUAGUACUUUCUCAGCUUCUCUUGCAGUGAGGUGUUCCUGUCAAUGGAAUCUAAAGAAAUCACAAGGUUCAGCCUUGAAUAGCACUGUGAAGAGCCACCCAUGACUCAUAUAUUUCAAUGUCCAGUUUGGUUUAUCAGCACAUAGAGGAAAAUAUUAGGCUAGGCCCAGAAGGAAAUAUGGGUCUGCUAAGCUUCACUUAUGCCCUUUCUGUGUUGCCUCUUCAAUUCUUCGUUUAUUUAAUCAGCAGGUCUGCCUGCACUCUUAUCAUUUGCUAGUCACUGGUAAAUGCUUAGAGCUAUGUGGAGUCCUCCUCUACAGACAUUCCUCUGCCACUAUCAAGAGGAAGACCACUGUGGUUUUACUCAUUUUCUCUUGAUUGCUAAUUGCCUGAUUGGUAUAUCCACACCUCUGAGUUUCCAAAUGUUGUCUAGAUUUGGGCCUUAAGCCUUUCAAUGGUGUAAAUGACAUCCCAUGUAAAGGGCCUGCUUGGUGCUUGGCAUACAAUAGACCUUCAAUAAACAUCUGUUUCCUUGAAACCUUAGCAGGUAGGAGAAUUGAUGUGGGAGGUCAGGGAUGAUGGCCUAAUACCACUGGUUCUAGUAUAGCUGGCACAGAAAGUUAGAUUUUUGUCCUUUUAAAGGGAUCUGGAGGGCUGGGGUUGUGGCUCAGUGGUAUAGCACUCGUUUAGCAUGCGUGAGGCACUGGGUUCAAUCCCCAGCACCACAUAAAAACUAAAUAAACAAAAUAAAGCUAUUGUAGCCAUCUCAAACUAAAAAAAAUAAAAAUUAAAAAUUAAAUAAAAAAUAAAAAAAUAAAGGGAUCCGGACCAGGUCAUUUGUUCAACUGAUAUCACUGAUAUGCUAAGCUUUGUGAUAUAAAAAUGAGCAACACACAGCCUUAUCCUCAAAGGGAUGAAGAAAAAGGUACAAGACAGACACCAGCAAACAGGCAAUUGCAACAGUGUGAUAAGUGCUAGGAGGGGAAGUACAGGAUGUUUCUUAGCCACAAACAAGGGACAGAAAACUAACCCAGGCUGGUGAGUGGGUGUUGAGGUGGAGGAAGUGUCAAAUAAGACUUCCUGGAGGAAGUGGCAUAUAGCUUGGGACCUGCUUGAUACCCAGGUAAAGAGUGUGAAAUCAGGGUAGAGAAGGGAGCAUAGUAUCUCAGGCAGAGGGAACAAUUGCAAAGGCUCAGAGAAGAUCUGAGACUGCUGAUCCAGCUGGAGAGUUGGGUACAAGGGGACAGAAGGCUAAGAGAUGAGGCUGGCAAAUAGGCAGAAAAGACAGGAUUUAUAACAAAGAACUGCCAACACAGAGAAAUUUGGGUCUUCAGGACACUGGCAUCUCAGGGUUACACUUUGCCAAGUCCUAGGAGAAGGGAUGAAGGGGCAAAGAUACAGGAAGAAGAAAGGAACUAAUAAUUAUUAAGCAUCUGUAAGGCAUUCAGCUGCAUUAGUCAUCUGGGAAAUGCAAAUUAAAACCACAGAACAAACCUAGCCAGAAACAAACAAGCAGGGGUGAGAAUGAAGAUAUGAAUCCCCCCAACACACGCACACACACCCCAUCUUGACCAGAUCUCAGAACUGUUCUUGAGGAACUUACAGUCCACUGAGAGGAAGAGGCAAACAAUUUUUGGGGGGGCGGGGGGUGGUGCUGGGGAUUAAACCCAGAAGGCAAGCACUCUACCAACUGAGCUACAUCCCCAGCCUCCAAACACAUUUUAAGAUAUAGAAUUGUGAUGGAGAAAGGAAUGCUAGGCAUAGAGACCCCCAACUCUGCUGCCUCCUGUUCUUUCUUAACCUUCAUGUGACAAUUUAGCUAUCCAGAAUAUUUAGUUAUCCAGAAAACAAAUUUCACAAACAUCUAGAACAUACAUUUUCAUAGUCUGAACUCUUCAGACAUGUACUUUAUGAACUGAAAAGAAGCAGGGCUUUGGGGCCAAGCAGGCUAUGGUCCCAUCUCUACCACUGAUCUGCUGUGUGACAUUAGGCCAGCAUCCUGGCCUCUCCUGAACAUCUAUGAAACUGGAAUAAUAAGAACUGCUUCCAAAACAGUGACAUUCUUGCUCUGUUUCCUUUACUCAAAUAUUUAUUUUUGGAAAGAGAGAAUGGGAAUUCAUGUGUUCUGACCAGAACAAUUUUCUAAAGUUGGUAAUGCCCAUAAUUAUGCAUUGGUAUAAUCACUCCAAAGGUUAUAAGCAUAUUUUAUAAUUAAGCAAUUAAGAAAGCUCUGCUAUGGCUGUCAUGGUUAUAAAUAUUUUCUGGCAGCAGCAGCAAAGGGGGAAAAAGUAUUUUGACAUUUUAUACCAUCCAAAGAACAAUGGCAAAAAGGUAAGGAAAGGAACUUAGAACCUUUUUGGCCAUUCUCAGUUCCCUAUGGAGCACUGGGGUUUUCAGGCUGGAGAUGGAGGCCAGAAGCUGCAAGGAUUCAUGGAAAAUGGCACUUCUUGCGAACCCUGUGGGGAGAGUCCUUAGAGAACUGAGACGGUCAGGAGUUUCACAGAGUAUGAAACUAACCCCAGAGAGGUGCUACAUCACAAAUCCAGCAUCACAGAGUCCUCUUGUUGGCAGCAGAUACCAUCAUGCUCCUUGCCGGCUGGAUGCUGUGCAAGGCCAAGGCAGGCAAGACUUUUCUUCCGUGCACUUUGGUUGGCCUUUUCCUGUCUGCAGAAUGUGCAAGUUGGCUCUACCCAGUGAAGAGGUGCUGCAGAUGGGUAAAGCACAGAACGCAGCAGUCAGUACAGCAAGUUCCCUCCAUAAAUAACCUCCAGAUUCAAGCCAGUGAGCCCUCUGAAGGCAGUGGUAGCCCCAGGAUAGAGUGCCUGGCACAUAUGAGGCACUCAGGGAAUUACAUUACUCUGGUAAAUAAAUGUGUAAGCCGUGAAAUGCUUACUGUAAAGCUGGCCCUGGAAGAAUAUAACAAAAAACCUAAGUGCUGCUGGCUCUACAGAGGGAGCCCGGGUGGGAAAACAGAAGGGAAGAGGGAAAUGACUUUUUACUGCACACCCUUUUGUUCCUUUUGGGUUUUGUACCAUUGGUUUUCAAAAAAGAAAUAUUAAGCUGGGCUCAGUGGUACACUGCUGUAAUCCUGGCUACUUGGGAGGCUGAGGCAGGAGGAUCAGAAGUCCCAAGCCAGCCUGAGCUACUUAGCAAGACCCUGUAUCAAAAUAAAAAAUAAAAAGGAUGGGUGGGGCUCUAGCUCAGUGGUAGAGCACCCUUGGGUCCAAAAAAAAUUUUUUUAAAUUAGAACAAGAUGAAAGCCUAAUGUAAUUCCCUAUUCAGGGAAGUUUGUACUUGAGUUGGAGGAAGAGAGAGUAGAUCUUUAGAGUUAAACCAACUUGAGUUUGACUCCCAGCUAUUUCUGCUGCUUACUAGCUCUGUGUCUGAAAGCAAGUUACCUACCUUCUCUGAGCCUCAUGCUACCUAACUACAAGGAGGAUAAUGAUCAUCCAUUACAUUAUGAUGAAGGUGAAAUGUGAUAACAUAGUUAUGCUUACAGAGACCCACUGUGUGCCAGGCAUUCUUCAUAAGGUUUUCUGUCUGUGUAUUGACUACCUCAUCCUCAGGACAACCAAACAAGAGAGAUACUGUUAUUUUCCUUUUCUAUAUUUGACAUAUGAAGAAACUAAACUCCAGAGAUAUAUCAAGGAACUUGCUUAGGGUCUCAUAGCCAGGCAGGCUCCCUACCUCUUCUUGAAAUAGUAGCAUCCUCUCUUUUUCAUUAGGGAAUUCUUUAAAAUACAAGCAUUCUCAAGGUCCAAAGAAAUAUCUUUUCUAGUGGUGGGCUUUUGGAUGUGGUGACAGGAUAGUAAGAACAAUGCUGGUUAGGGAGGGGCAGGGAGAGGGCAAGAGAGGGAGAGGGCAAGCAAGAGAGUGAGUGCUAGCAAUGAAGUUAAAUAAGAAUUUUGCAGAGAAUGCAGUCGAAUUGUAGCAUACAUGUAACUUUUCUGCUUUACCCUGUACUUUAACUAUUUUUAGAAUUCUGAAUUAUAUAUUGGAGAGGACACCAGGAAUUCUUCAGGACUUAGGACUUCUGAAAACGCUUAAUAGGGUGGAGCAAACUUUUAGGCAGAGUUGCUUCACCAACGCCCCUCAAAUGGGUCCUGAGUCACUUCUAUGCACAUCAUUGAUUCUACAGUUAUCCAUAGUAGGUCUUUAAGUGUUUGACAUCCUGAUGUUAACUUGUCUAUAAAGACUUAACUGUUUUUUCAUAACCAAAUUAAUUUUUUAAAAAUUCCAGUGCAUUGAAUGUUACUGAAUUUUGACUGUACAUGGAAAAAUAAAACAUCAUUUUCAUUUCCCUAAAAAAGAGUUUCAAGGUUAGAAAUGAGCCUGAGGGGCUGGGUUUGUGGCUCAGUGGUGGAGAGCUUGCUAGCAUGUGUGAGGUACUGGAGUAGAUCCUCAGCACCACAUAAGAAUAAGUAAAUAAAAUAAAGGUAUGUGUCCAUCUAUAACUAAAAAAAAAAAAAAAAUUGAGCCCAAAUUUCUAAAGGGUGAUAACAUUUGUUUUCUUUCCCUGAGCUAAAAAGACUCUUCCUCAUUGUGUCUCAUUUUCCCUCCCCAUACCCAUCACCCAUCACCCCUUCUACCUCAGAACUCUCAGUGUUUUCUGUAGACUUCCCAUCAGGCCACACCCUGGGCCCUAUGUGCACAUAGGGAGCUCCCAGCACUAGGACCCACCCUCUUCUUGGCGAUGCCCCUAAGCUAUGGCCAGAGAAGGGAGAAAGUACAUCAAGUCCUCACUCCUGCCUCCUACUGCAGAUUUUCAUACAAACUUGCCUAUCUCUUUCUGCCUGUGCUCUACCGGAAGCUUUCAGCAGCUCCCCACUGCUCCCAGAAGAAAGCCAGGUCCUUCCCUACAUCCUCACACUUGAUCCUGACCAACCUGCUAGCCUGGCUUAUCUCCACACUUAUCUCCACACUGGUUGCUACAAGAUCCUGACUCUCUUACUCUGGCUUCUGGCUCAAGCUGUUUCCUCUGCCAUUUCCACUAAAACCUGGGAAAUUCUCCCAUCUACCAAGGCCCAGCACCAAGCCCAUCUCCUAGAGAAAUCCUUCCCUACACUCAUCUCACUCAUAUUCUCUCUCUUUCCCUCCUUCCUCCUCUUCUCCCCUCCUUGCUUCUCUUCCCCUCCCCUCCCUCUCUCCCUUCUCCCCUUGCCCCUUCUCCUUUCUCUCCUCCUCCUCUCUCUCUCUCUUUGGAUAUUUCCCACUUUCAAUCACAUUCCCUUGAGGCUCUGCUUAUACAGUCAUGUGCAACAUAAUAAUGUUUCAAUCGGUGACAGGCCACAGAUAAAACGGCAGUCCCAUAAGAUGAUAAUGGAGCUGAACAAAUCCCAUCGCCUAGUGCUACAGAGCUGUCAUAAGAUACAAGUGCAGGGUUGGGGCUGUGGCUCAGUGGCAGAGAGCUUGCCUAGCAUGUGUGAGGCACUGGGUUGGAUCCUCAGCCCCACAUAAAAAUAAACAAAGGCAUUCUGUCCAUUUACAACUACAAAAAAAUUUUUUAAAAAAAAGAUCCAGUGGGCUAGGGAUGUGGCUCAGUGGUACAAUGCUUGCCUCGCACAUGUGAGAUACUAGGUUUGAUCCUCAGCACCACAUAAAAAUAAACAAAGAUAUUUCCCAAUCACUCUGAUAUCUCAUUAAAAAAAAGAUCCAAGCACAACUCAGUAUUCUGAUAUACAUUUAUGCCAAUCACAUAAAUGUAUGAAACACAAAAUUAUGUACAAUGCAUAUAUCUGAUGGUGACAACUGGUUGUGUUGCUGGCUUUUGUGUUUACUAUAUCAUGCUUUUUACUGAUAUUUUAGAGUGAUUUCUACUUUUAAAAAAAUGUCUACUAUAAAGCAGUGUGCUGUGUUUCGCUGGCAGCAGCCUCAUACAUCUCGUGUUUACCACAUCUCUUGAUUGCAUCAUUUUCUCUUCUGCUUGAUUUAAUCUCAUGUUGUUUUGUUCAUCCUAGGAGUUGUUUUGUUCACCCUAGAAGUUGUUUUGUUCAUCCUAGGAGUUGUUUUGGUCCUAGGAGCAACAGGCUAUACCAUAAAUCUAGGUGUGUGGUAGGCUAUACCAUCCAGGUUUGUGUGAGUCCACUCUUGGAUGUUCACACAGGAAUGAAAUCACCUGAUGACUCAUUAUAUCUCAGAACGUCCUCAUCAUUAAGUGACAUAUGACUAUACCUUUGGGUACUUCUUUCAGUCUGCUUUGGAAUAGUCUUCGUGUUCACACCACCCCCAAGUUAGAAACUGUGUCCUGGAAUAUAAGAGCUAUCCAUUCCUUUUCCAUGAGCAUACAUGCUAUUGUGUUGGCCCCAGGGUUUUGGAACUAGAGUAAGUUCUCAGCAAAAGUUUGGCACUUGAAUACAGCAACUUGAUGGACAGAACUGAGUUUAAGUGCCCCUCUGCCUAUUAAUAACUAUGUGACCUUGGACAAGUGAAUUAUCCUCUCUGAACCUCUUAGGUCAAAACUUACAAAUAGAAGUUUAUAAUAACGCCUCCCCCAUGGCAUGUUGACAAAUGAAUGAGAUAGCACACAGAAUGUGUAAUGUAACACUUGCCAGUCAUAUAGUAGUUCCUGGCAAACUUGUGUCUCCAACUUCAUACUACAUACUUUGGGAGUUUUUCCAUCUUUUUCCCUAGACCCCCUCGAGUUGGUAUCUGGGGAUAAGGACACCAGAAUAUUAACUUUGAAAGACAAAAAUGGGCCUAAGGAUAUAGUUCUGUGAUAGAGCACUUGCCUACCAUGCAUGAGAUCCUAGGUUUGAUCCCUAGCACUGCAAAAGAAAAAGACAAAGAUGACUUUCAUGUAACCUAAUAGUAAAGAUAGAAAAGAUUCUAAAGAAAGUCGGUGAGAACCAUACUGGCAACCCCAGGCCCUGGAGGAGGUGGGGGCUACUCCUUUCUCAACUAAAGAGGUCAGAUCCUACCUAGGAAAUCAGGCCCAUUAGUCUCUGCAAGCUGAAGAUUAGCACCUACUAGAGACCCUCACCAAAGCCCUGGCCACACUGUACUGUAAGCCUGAGGCCCUGUGAGCUUGCUUGGAAUAUGGAGAAGAGGCAUUUUCACUGGAACUUGGCCAAUGGGUCUCUAGCAGUGGGGGUGAAGGGUACAGAGGCCAGGAUUCUAGAGGUCAGGGAGCUCCUCCUCUCAUCAAGAUACACUCUGUGCCAAACAGCCUUCUGCCCAUACCUUGGUUUCCAGGAGCAACCAUUCUGGGAAGAGGCAGGGGAAUGGAGUGUGGGGUGAAGAAGGCCGGCAUAUAGCUGGUAUGCAGAAUGAUGUUCUUUUUGGAAGCUGUGAUCUCUGGGCACUUAUUAAAUAGGCAUUUGGAUAUUUUCAGUCUCCUGAGAAACUGGGUAGACCACCAACUUUCCUCAGAGCUGGGCUCCCUAAAAUAAGUUGAUCUACUUACUUCUCCACACCAUCCCCAUCAGCCUGUCCUAAAUCUAGGUCUCUGUGAUGGGGCAUUAUUGUGGGAUUGAAACUGAGGGAGGAGUGGCUGCCAUGGGAAGAUUUGAAUAUCAUGUAGCCACCUUUCCCCUGGAGAUGGGAUCCUGGACUAGGACUUUGGCAAGUGAGUGACUCAUGGAGAUGAUCUAGCUCAAUCUGCCCUUUUACAAAUAAGAAAACUGAUACCUAAAGAGUCUAAGCCAGGAGGAAAACCUAAGUCUGCUCAUCCCCAGGCCAGGGCUUUUAUCCUGUCUUUCUAUGACAGUCCCAUGAAGACAUUUUCCUGUGCUAUGAUGUCACCAUAUGGAUAUAUCUGGAUUUAACUAGGAAAUGUGAACCCUACUUGUCCUAAUGUCAAAUCGGAGCCUCACCUCACCUCUUGCCUGACCUGUAGCUUCUCAUUCCUGUGGCUGGGGGGAGGGCAGGACAGAAGGACUUGCGUAAGUGGUAUCCAGACUCAUACUUGGCUAGAUACUUUGGGUGGAGUUGGGGAAGGUCCAAGGUGUGAGGGCUCUGGGUUGAUCGGCCUGUUUUUUGAGUGCUGGCCAAGUAGGCAGGCAUUUGUUUCUUCCUCUCCUUCAGGAUCUUUGUGCCUCUUUGUGUGCAAUGAGCCACCCCUGUGAGGUAGCAUCUGGCACCUAUCCAGAAAAAGGAGCAAACUGUGUGAAAAACUAAUGAUAACUCACAUGGGUUCCAAAAAAUCAGAAGAAAGAAGGCUGGCACAGGUAUAACCAACAAAAAGGCUAAAGGAGGGGAUAUAGAAAGGAUUAGUGAAACUCACAAGGGGAGACUCCCUCACUGUCAUGAGAUCCCUAACUGAACACUUACUCUGUACCAAGUACAGUUCUAAGUACUAGAGAAAUCAGACCAAGAAUGGUGCAAAAACCUCAAAAUACCAAAAUCCACAGAUGGUCAAGCCCAUGUAUAAAAUAACAUAGUAUUUGCAUAUAAUCUAUGCACACACCUUCUUGUGCACUUUAAAUCAGCUCUAGAUUUUUUAUAAUACCUAAUACAAUAUAAAUUAUGUAUAUAAUUAUUAUACUGUAUUGUUUAGGAAAUAAUGACAAGAAGAAAGUCUUUACAUGUUCAGUACUUUUUUUUUUCCUGCCUGCAGCUCCCAUCCUAAACUGGAGGCUAAUGCUGAGCCUGGUCGAAUUAUGUACUUGUCCAUCUGUCCCUAUCAGCUUGUCUGACUGUAUUUGAGACUGUAAUAAUUUUAAAAGAUUCAGCAUAUCGGCCAUUUGCCACCCCUGCACUGGAUAAUUUUAUUCAUUCUCUUUCUCUUCCCCAAUUUCUGUCUCUUUUCCUUUUUCCUUCUCUCCCUCCUUUCUUUUCUUGAGUAAGAUUUAUUGUAUCAUAUUUUACACACAAUAAAAUCCACUCCCUUUCUUGUAUGUUUCUGAGUUUGACAAACGCAUACACUCAUAUGGCUACCACAGUCAAGACACAGAACAUUUCUAUCACUCCAAAGAAUCCCCACCGCACUUUCCUUUUGUAGUCUUGCCCUCCCUGCACCAGGCCUGGUAACCACAUAUGUGUGCUCUGUCCCUAGAGUUGUGCCUUUUCCAGGUUGUCCCAUAUGCAAUUAAGAAAAAAAUUUUUCCAAACAUAAUUGGUUGAAUUUAUGGAUGUAGAGUCUAUGAAUAUGGAAGGUUGACUGUACUAGAAACAGCCAAGUUGGCCUCUAGCAGAAUGGUAAGGGAGAGGAAGCAAGAGCUAUAUCAAAGGGAUGGGGCUGUACUGGCCUCAGAAGACCUCUGGAUCCAUAAUCCAGAGACUCCAUGAGGUUGCUGUCAAGACCUGGGACAUUCUGGUAGCUCUGAGAACCUCCUGCUGCCAGACACACAGACUUCCCAGUGUGGGCAGCAGAGCUGUCACUGCUGUGCAGGCUUCACAAAGGGACUUUUUCACCCCAACAGAAUGGCACUAACACCCCAAACUCCCAUUUCUUUCCCUGGCUAGGGUCAACCUUCUAGAUAGGAGAAAACUCACAAAGAUGUUGCCCCAAAUGUCUUCAAUAAAGAUUUAUUUGGGCAGCACAAGAACUGCCUCAAGAGUCAGAGGAAGGAAUAUCCAUUCACGCAACAAAUAUUUACUGAGAAUCUACUAGGUAGCAAGCAUAAAGGUCCUAUGUACAUGAUAUUUCUUCCUCCCCUUAGCCUUACAUACAUGUUAUUAGACCACUAAAGAGAUAUGGGAUCAGAAAAAAAAAUCGAUCGGAAAUGUUAAGUUACUGCCAGGUGUGGUGGCGCACACCUGUAAUCCCAGCAGCUUGGGAGGCUAAGGCAGGCAGAUUGCAUGUUCACAGCCAGCCUCAGCAACUAAGCCAGGUCUUAGGUAACUUAGCGAGACCCUGUCUCAAAAUAAAAACUAAAAAGGGCUGGAGAUGUGGCUCAGUGAUUGAGCACCCUGGGUUUAAUCCCUGGUAUCAAAAAAUAAAACAAAAAAAGAAAUGUUAAGUUACUGACCUGGGGUCACACCUUUAAGUAAAUAGUGGGAAUGGGGAGGGUUGGGGCAGAGAGAGAGGGAGGAGGGCUCCAAACUCAGCUCCAUCAGCCAUGGGAAGCCUCUCUGCUCACACUGCACAUUGCAACACAGCAGAGGGUUCCAGAAUUCCUAUCCACUGCCUUUGUAAUCAGCAGUAGCUACUUUGGGUCUGAGUCUCCUUGUUUAUAAAAAUAAAGUGCUUGAGAAAUAUGUUUCCCAAGUGUCCUCCCAGCACUGGAUUCUUUGUCACAGUGUGUCCUGCUCUUGUCUUUGUAAAGGCUCUCCUGGCCCAAUUCUCCCUGGUCACCAGCACAGAGCUCCACUGGGGAUGCCAGUCUUGCCUGGCCUCGCCCCCUGGAGGACAUAAGAGGUACUGCAGGAGCCCGGGGCUCUGGGGAGAGGCCCUGUAACUAUCAGACCAUGUCAACAUAAUCGCAUGUUAAAGCCAACUUUAAUUACCGCUUUCUCUUUUUUGAAAACAUGGAUCUAGAAAACAUUCUCACAGCCCUUCCCACGCUCACCAGGGCAUUGCUGCUGGAACACUUAAUGACGGGGAGCAUUUGUAGCCUGAAGACCUACUGGUUCUAUGAGUCAUAUUUUAAAAUUGGAUUCUCUCAUUUACUUCCUACACCUCAGUUUCUUUUAGGUCCUGUAAAGUCAUUUAUUGAUCUAAUGUUGACUUUGCAGGGCUGCCGAACCAUGAUCACAAAACAGUGUGUUUUUCUCUUAAGUUAAUUAUUUUUGUUAAAAUUACCAAUUUUUGGUUAGGUAAUACAUCCACGUGAUACAACAUCCAAAAGCCACUGAAGGGUUUUCAGUAAUUAUCAGAUGGCCCAACAAUUCCACUCCUGGGUAGAUACACAAAAGAAUUGAAAAGAGGUGUUCAAAUAAAAACAAGUAUACGAUGUUCAGAGCAGCACUAUUCACAAUAGCCAAAAGGUAGAAACAACCCAGAUGUCAUCAUCUGAUUACUAGAUAUACAAUAUGGGGUUCCUCCACACAAUGGAAUAUUAUUCAGUCAUGAAAAGGAGUAAAGUUCCAACACAUUCUACUAUAUGGAUGGACCUUGUAAACAUUAUACUAACUGAAAGAAGCCAGACAUAAAAGGCUACAUAUUAUAUCAUUCCAUUUAUGUGAAAUAUCCAGAAGAGGCAAAUCCAGAAAGAGAAAGCAGGUUAGUGGUUGCCAGGGCUAGGGGGUAAGAGGGACUAAUAAGCAUGGGCUUUCCUUUUAGGUGAUGAAAAGAUCCUAAAAUUAGAUAAUGGUGGUGGUUGCCCCUGCAGGCUUCUGUUCUCCCAAUUUUCCAGGUACAAAGUAGGCCCCAGUUGCUCAUGGGUUCACCCAUGACCAUAAACUCUGGGUUCAUGUCUAGAGCUCACCUAAGGACUCACUCAUGGUGCCCUACUUAAAGCAUGGCUCUCUGUAGGGCAGCAGGCCUUGAACCAUGCAGCCUCCCUCCUCUUGAAGCCCACCAUAUCCAGGAGGGAUUCUCUUGGAGUACCCCUCACUGGUUCUGUGUGUAUGUGGGAGCACCCUCUCCAUUCCUUGAGAGAGGAGGAAGAGGCCUCUUCUCCAUGACCAACUCACUAUCUCAAUGACUCUCUGACUUCUGGUUUUCUGCUUAUCAUGUCUUAAUGGGGCGGGGAGGGGCAGGGUCUAAGGAGCUUUACACUGUCUGUUAGUAAAUCCUUCCUAGAUAGGUCUAGCCCCUCUCUUUAAAUGUGAGAGUAUUUAUCAUCCACAGGCUUCAGAUAAAAUUCUGAGACAACUGAUAAGCAUCCAUUCAGCACCCUGAGUGCUUGCCCAGCAAGCGUGAGGCCUAGAGUUCAAUCCCCAGAUUUAUGUACUUACAUAUGCAUAUGGAUCCAUAAAUUUGGGGAUUGAACUCUAGGCCUCACGCUUGCUGGGCAAGCACUCUUACCACUGAACUACACCUCCAGUCCUUUUUUAAUUGCAAUUUUUUAUUCUAUUGGAGACAGGGUCUUGCUAACUUGGCCAGGCUGGGCUUGAACUUGUGAUCCUCCUGCUUGGCUUCCCUGCUAACUGGGAUUACAGGCCUGCGCCACAGUGUCUAGCAAAAUGAGAUUGUUUUGUAAAGGCAGUUUUCUGACAGGUUUCUCUUACUUAAUAUUCUAUCGUGAGUAUUUUCCCAUGUUGUUAAAUGUUCUUGAAAAAGAUGGGGUAUUUGUUUGUUUGUUUUUGUGGUGUUGGGGAUCAAAUUCAGGGCCCCAGGAAUCCCAGGAAGUCACUCUACCACUGAGCUAUAUCCCCAGCCCAAAAUGUGUGGUUUUUUAAAAUGGCUAUUUAAGAUUUCAUUGUAUUAAUAUGCUAUAAUCAAUUUGAUUAUUUGUUUUGUUAUUAAUUUAUUUCCAAUUUUUAGAUGACAUUGUUGUAGAUGUCUUUAAUUAUUAAACUAUUAGGGAUUUCUGAUUGUUUUCUUAGGUUAAUUUCCUAGAACUGGAAGAGUGUGAACUCUUUUAAGUCACUUAAUACACUAUAAUGGUUUUGUAGGAAAGCAGCCCGUAAGGGUGACUUCACCAGCCGAGCUUCAGAAUGUACACCUCCAUGCCUCCUCUCCAGUACUGAGUAGGUUAUUUCAUCUAAAAUGUUUUAAAUGUUUGUCAAUUUUAUAUGAAACAUGAUGUAUCAUUGUUUUAAAAUUUUAUGACUUCUUGGAGAAGCAUUAAAAUUUUUGGCAUCAUGUUACAUGAUUACAGAAAGCUGCCCUUCUACCCUGCAAGAUGCCGGGACACUGGGUCCAUCUGGUUGUUGAAGAAUUUGUGCAAGACUUAGGUAAACAAAGUCUUACUGGUGUGACAGUUGCCUGCUGUGGGAGAGAGCAUAAUGGCCUCCCAGAGAUGUUCACAUCUUAUUUCUUGAACCUGUGUAUGUUAGGUUACAGGUGUUAUGGUUUGGAUCUUAAGUGGUCCCCAAUUCAGCAGUGGUUAGAGGCGGACAUGUUGGGAGGUGAUUGGAUCAUGAGGGCUCUGACUUCAUAAAUGGAUUCAUUUAUUUAACAGGCUAAUGGGAGAAAUGAGACUUAGUUGGAAGAAGUAGAUUAUGGGGAAUGUGUGCUCUGAGAGGGUAUAUCUUAUCCCAGCCCCUUCCUCUCACUCUGUUUUCUGGCCAAAAGGUGAGAUUUUUUCCACCUUGCACUUCCUGCCAUAAUGUUCUACCUCACCACAAACCCAGAAACAACAGAGCUGAGUGACAAAGGACUGAAACCAGUUAUUUUCAAUUUUUAAAUCACAUCCAUUUUCCAAUUUUUAAAUUUCCAAAUUUUUUAAUUUGCCAAAACAUUUUUUCCCUAAUUUAAUUUGACUUUACUAGGUAUUUUGUCACAGUGACAGAGAGCUGACUAACAUUCGUGUCAAAGGGGAAUUGGGAUUGCAGGUAGAAUUAAGUUCAUUUAUCAGAUAACCUGAAAAAUUGGGACACUGUUUUGGAUGUUCUGGGUGGAACUGAUGUAAUCACAAAGGUACUUAAAGGUGGAAGAUGAAGCCCGGUGUAGUGGUACAUGCCUAUAAUUCCAGCAACUCAGGAGACUGAGGCAUGAGAAUUGCAAGUUUGAAGCCAGCCUGGGCAGCUUAGCAAGACCUGUCUCAAAAAUUAAAAAAUAGGUUAAGAAUGAAACUUAGUGUAGAGUACCCCAAAGUUCAAUCCCCAGUACUCGGGGGCGGGGGAGGAAAUGGAAGGAGGCAGAUGAAUAGAGUUAGAGAAUAUGCGACCAUAGAAGAAUGGUCAGGGAGGUGCCUCAUUGCUGGCUUUGAGGAUGGAAAGAGCCAUGAGUCAAGCCAUGCAGUCAGCCUCUAGAGCCAGAAAUGACAAGGAAACUGUCUCCUAGAGCUUCCUUAAAGGAACGCAGCCCUGCCAACAUCUUGGUUUUAGUCUGAUAAGACCAGUGUUAUACUUUGUGUGUGUGUGUGUGUGUGUGUUUACUGGGUAUCAAAUCCAGGGCCUUGUGCAUGGUAGGCAAAUGCUCUCCUCCUAUGCUACAUCCCCAGAACUCAGACUUUUGACCUAUGAAACCGAAAAAUAAUAAAUUUGUGUUGCUUCAAGUUUAUGACAGUUUUGUUACAGCAGCAACAGGAAACAAAUACACAUAUAGAGCAUGCCAAACCUGCCUCUGCAGAGUGCUGGAGUUCCCUGCUUUACAAGAAAAUAAGUUUCCCAUUGCUUUCCAUGCUUGUAUACUUGCCAGUAUCAAGCUGUGUGAACCAGAGGGAUAAUUUGAGGCCAGUUGGCCCUUCCUGCAAAGAGGGAUAAGGGGCCUUUGGUGGAGUGUAGAUAGAUCUGAGAACUUCUGCCCACAUAUCCAAUGCCCACACACCAGCCUUUAGAAAUGUUUUUGUUUUCAUGCUGUUUUAUGCUAGAGGAAAUGCACAUUUCUGAUUCACUUAAUGGUGCCUGAUUUUUUUACAGUCAAAGACAAAGGAUUGCCGUGGCUACUUUGAAGUAAGCCAGCAAAGUUAUAGUGGAGGGAAUAUAUAUGGAGGGUUACAGAGGGAUGUAGUAGAAUUCAGAAAAGUAUGGAAAAGGGGAGCUGAUUUCUCCGCUUAACUUUGUCCAUAACUCAGUGUGAGUCUUGUCCAAGUGACAUUCUCCCUAGAACUCAGCUUACUUAUCUAGAGAAGAAGGGCUUAGAUAUAGGCACUUGCAAAUGGUCUUUGAUUAUUUUAUUGGUGUGUUGGUUGUUCUUUUCUUUUAGUCCUAAGCCCAACCUUUUAUAUUUUGCUUUUUGAUAGGAGGGCUCUGGUUACCUUCAGUGAAUGGGAGGUCCUGAUAGGGAAUAGAAAGUAGGAGAAGGGAAGAGGGGAGAAUAGAUUUUCUUUCUGCUACCUAUACCUUUCAAAGUCCCAUCAAUUGCAGAGGACAGCCUAGGAUUUUUUUAGGCACUCAACACCAAGCCCCCCUGCACCUCCUCAGAGGCCAGGAUACAAACACAAGGCUCCUAGGAACCACCUCUGCACACCUAGGUUCUUGUAACCCCACCUGUAGCACUUUGUUCCAGCACAAGGAUGAUAGCAACUCCCAGCAGCCACUACUCUGGGUUACCUCUGUGUUCUCUUUGUCCUCUCAGUCCUCCAACAUCUAUGUAACCACUUCUCUGCAUUAAUUUCGCUUGUUCAUAUUCCCAGGUACGACUUCCACUUUUCUAGUUGGACCUUGACUGAUACAACAGGCUAUUUUUUCUUCAUGAUUUGUAAAAACUCAUUUUUUUCUGAGUUCAUUCCAUACUAGUCAAUUAUGAUGUAUGUUGCAGUGAUUUUUUUAUUACUUUGCUUUUGGCCUUUGUUUAUAAUGUUUGUUCUUGUUCAGACAAUCUUUAAGUUUUACAUACUCAAAUUUAUCAAUAUUUGCCUUAUGUUUUCUGGAUUUCAUUGCAUAUACAGACCUUCAUCCCAAGAUUAAAAAAAUAGUCAGUUAUAUUUUCUUCCCAUAAUUUCAUGGUUUUAUGUUUGACAUUCAUCUGGAAGUUAUUUUGGAGUAAGAAGUGAGGUGGCCAUAUAAUUUAAAUGGGUUUCCCAAAUGAAAAAUGGUAUUUAGCCAGUUCUGUCAAUAUCAUGCGCUGGAUAGCUCUUCCUUCCUCUUUUGACAUGAAAUGCCAAUUUAUUAAGUAUUACAUUCACACAUAUACUGGUUCUAUUUCUGGAUUUUUCCCCACUGGCUUAUCUAUUUUUCAGUCAAAAAUAUUUUAUUAGGCUAAAGCUAUCAUUCAGUUUUAUGGACUUGUCCACAAAAAUAUCUCUAUGUUUGAAGCAAGUAAAUUUUAGAAGUCAAAAUACAGUAAAGGAAAGGUGGAAUUUUUUUCUGUCUGAGAAAUCAGAUAUUGAUUCAAGAGGAAAUAUCAAUACUGAUUUUUUAAAGUUAAGGCUUCCUGAAAAUUUUUCAUUUUGAUAAAAAAUUUUUUAAUGUCUGAUUUCAAGGAUAAGUCAUAUUCUGUUGAAUUUUGCUUGAAUUAAAACAUCAGUUUGAACUAACUUUGUUUUCAACUCUUCUUUCUUUCUUUUUUAAUGUUUUUGGGGAUACUGGGGAUUGAACCCAGGGGCACUCCACCACUGAUCUACAUCCCCAACUACUUUCAUGUUUUUAUUUUGAGACAGGGUCUCAGUAAGUGUUUGAGUCUGGCCUUCAACUUGCAGUCUUUCUGCCUCUGCCUCCUGAGUUUCUGGGCUUAUAGGUCUAUGCUGCCGCACCCACCUGGGUAUUCCUUUUUUAAUAGCAUCCUGUUCUUGUUUCAUGGAUACAUUAUUUUCUGUUUUCUUCCUGGGAAUUAACUAUAGGAUAAUUCUUUGUUCUUUCCUCUUUGUGUCUCUGUUUUCUCUGAGUUCAUUUGUUUUGGUUACUAUCUUUGAGAGACUUUUGAGAUUCUAUCAGUGAGAGACUUUUCUCGGUCACAUUAUUUUGGGUUAUUUGUUUUUAAUUAAAAGUGAUACAUCAAAAAACGAUAGAAAGUGUGUGUGUGUGUGUGUGUGUGUGUGUGUGUGUAAGAGAAGAAGAAAGAGGGAGGAAGGGUGAGAGAAAGGGAAAAAGUGAAUAAAUGAACGAAUGCAGGCAAGGCUAUUGAUUGAAAGAUUUUAAAGCUGGAUAACUAGGUAGAAAUCCCACUGUUUAUUUAGGUGACCUUCAAGCAUUAUUUUCUCUAGACUUUUCCUUUGGGCAAGUUUCUUUUAAGAAGACAUAUCUAGUCUCCCACAUAGUGGGUUUAUAUCUGGUUACCUGCAUCUUAGGAGUUAAGCUAGGAAAGGAAGCAGGAACUUGGGAGCGGCACUUGCACACAGGAAUACUACAAAAUGGGAAGAUUGGCAGGUGUGUGUGUGUGUGUGUGUGUGUUGAUAUUAGAUAUUACAAAAAUGCACUAAAAUACUACCAAGCAGAAAAUCUAUGGCAGAGUCAGUAAGUUUUUUAAGUAAGAGCCUCUGGAUACAUGAGGUACCAUUGUAUUUAUAACUACUACUAUGGGUGUGUGUUUGAAGAACAGACACAGUAUGUGCUCUUUGGUACAUCCUUCUCUGCUCAGCCAUCUUUGGUUACUGUGUGCAACCACUUUAAAUGCUGAAAGAGUGUACUGUAUAGAACUCAGCUGGAAGAAGUGGUGGUGGGGUUUGGAGGUGGAGGAUGGAGUCCUUUGGGAAACAAUUCUAUUUUUAGGAAUCCUGGUCUGUUUCUCUACAACCUAAAGGAUUAUGUGCUGAUGAGGAUAAUUUCAUGACCAAUUUGGCUUCUAUAAAGAUCUUCAUUGUUCCUUUCUCAUUGAGGAUCAUAAGUAUAGAAACAUUUUGCCUUGGAAUGUUUUUAUUCUUUAAGAAGAUUCUAUUUUAAAUAUGAAAUGUACUUGCUUUAGAUCUGUGCUUCUGAAUUUCCAAAGGAAGUUCUUUUUAUAAAUUAGCUGAAUUCUCUGUGGGCUUGUGUUUAUCAAGUCCUGUUUGCAAAGUAUCUUGCAGUGGCAUAAACAUCACUUUAAAGCAGGAAGUUAGCUUUGAAUCAUUAGUCUAAAGUCAAGAGCUUCAGAAAAUGAAAAUGCUCCAGCUGGAAGAAAAUUUGACAUUAAGUCACAACAGGAAGUUAGGUGACUCUGGCUUUGCCUCUCCACUCAGAGCUUUUGGGCAUGUACAUUCAUUUGUGCCUCUUAAAUGCCUACUUUGGGCAUGGCCUCAUGUAACACUCGCGUAUGCCAAUCAAAUGAACUCCUCAGUCAAAGUGCAAAGACUCUGUUAAUAUAUAAACUUCCAUAUGCAAAGAAAGGAAAGAGGCUUUAUUUUCACAGCUAUAAAACUGUGUGAAUAAACCACCAUUCAUUUACUCAUUCUGCUGGGGGGAGACCAUACUUGGGUAGUUUCUAUUUUUUUUUUCUAUUCCAAACAAUGUUGCAACGAAUAAUCUUGUACACAUGCAAGAAUUUCACUAAUACAGCUGUUCUAGAAGUAUGAACCAGAGGCCCAGGGUCCCUGGAUCCCUUUCAGGUCGUCCAUGAAGUUUCACCAUUUUCUCUCUCCUUCUGUCAAGUAUAUGCUGUGGUGUUUUCCAGAGGCUGACUGACACACCCACAAUGAUCUGAAAAAAGGUAUUAAAAUACUCCUACCUCUUCUAAUUAUAUGUGUGUUAAACUGGAUUUUCCUUACCUACUUCAACCAAAACAAUGUUCACAACAUUUGAAAGCGAAUAAGAGAUUCCAAUUGUCUUCUCCUAAGCCAGACAUUAAAGAGAUUUGAAAAAUGCACAAAGCCACUUAUCUCCCUAAAUUUAGAAAUUGAAUCAUUUUUCAAAAAAUGAGUUUAUUUUAAAAUGGAUUAAUAUACAAAUGUUUAAAAAUUUCCAGCUUUAAUUUCUAAUAUAUUAAAUAUUGAUAAAUAUAAUAAACAAAAUUUUAGGAGGCUGUUGGUUUGGACUGAGCUCCUGUACUAUGCCCAAGAAGAACCAAAGGAAAAUGGAGUCACUCAUGCUAAAAUUUAUAUCACCAAGCCAAAACUAAGGCGUUUGUCUGACCUUCUGAGAAAGAAGUGCCAAAUCCCCAAACAGACCAAUUUUAGGCAGCAUUUUAAGUGCCAAAUCCCCAAACAGACCAAUUUUAGGCAGCAGUUUAAGGAAGUCCCCUCUGUUUUAACUUUCACCAGGAAGGUAACUUUGAAUGGACCAAUCCAAUUUUUGUUUUUCUUUUCUGCUUUCUUCAGCCCUUUUCUGUAUAUAAAGCCAAUCUUCUCUAUUCAGCUCAUCAGUGCAAUGAAAAUCAAAAGGAGAUCAGUAUAGUAGAAGGAAGGGACCAAGGGGAGGGAAGAGGGGAGGGAAAAGGGAAAUACUGGAAUGGUAUUAUUCUGUUGUUAUAUUGUGUGCAUGUAUGAAUAUGUAACAAUGAAUCCCACCAUUAUGUACAACUAUAGUGUAUGAAUAAAAAUAUGGAAAAAAGACAAAACCAAUAAAAAUAAAUAAAUGUUGGAGUGAUGAAUCAGAUAAAAAUCAAUUAAGAUCUUUAAAUUAAAUUUGUUGUAAUUUUGACAACAAAAUUUGACUAAUAUAACCCAUGUAAACAUAAAUUGUUUGUGAUCUUUGAUAAUUUUUCAGAGUAGAAAAGAGUCCUGAAAUCAAAAUAUUUGAGAAGCAUGCCCUAGGGUAUAGACCCAGGGGUGGAAUUGCUAAGCUAUGGGGUGGGUGCACGGUCAGCUUUAGGUGAUUAAACCACUGAUGGUUAAGUUCAGUUUGAUAUCAUUUACAUAGAGCUACCUACAAUACACAACUAACCUAAGUACUUGUCACUUAAUUGUUGAAAGGAAUUAAAGAGAAUUGAACAGAAUCAAAACCCAACUGUUUUAUAGUCCUAUAAAACAACCCGGCAGAUAAGGGCCGUUGGCAUCUUUAAACACAGCCCAGCCAAACCCUCAGUUUUCCCAUGGCUGAGAGGAGGAGGGCACAGUGCCAGGGUCCAUUCUGGUAGCUGGGUUGUUUCCCUUUCAACUUUUUGCCCUGUGGGUCUAUGCUGGUUUCUCACUCACUGCAUGUGGUAAACAACUGGCUUUGAGUCAAGUCAAGAGUGUGAGUCUCUGAGGAGAGACUGCCCCCCCCCCACUCAGCCUGAGAAUGAAUGAGCAUAAGUGGAGGAAGGGAAAAGAGGUGGGAGGGAGGGGAGCUCCCUCUAUGGCUCCCCAGGAAGGAAAAAAAACCUAUACUAAUGAUGUGAAAUGAGCUGUGUGACUUGUGACACAUAAGUCAGGAUCUUGUCUUUGCAGAAUAGGCCCCUGCUCUGAAAAUAGCUGAGAACAGUCAAACCCAGAGAGGUGCCUCUGGGCAUUCUAGGGGUACAGCCUGACCUUGCACCUGGAAUAAGAAGGGAAAGGAAAGGGCAGGAAGAAAGGAGGAAAAUCUAGCACUGUGUUAGACUAUGUAGUUAGUUCUCAUGACAAAUCUGUAGCAUAAAUAUUAUUCCCAUUUUACAGAAGGGUAAAUUGAGGCCCAGAAGGAUUAGGCAGCAUAAUUCAAGGGACUGACCUUUGGAGUCAGUUCUAAGUUCUAAUAUCACAGAUAUCAUCCCCUAUUACAGACACUAUCCCCUAAUGUCUGCAUAACUGUGGGUAACCACGUGUCCUAAUUGGAUAUAUUAGUUUCCACCUUACAGGAAUUAAAUCCAGUCAAAGAAAAUGAAGCAUGGAACGCACAACUCUGACACACAGGAAGCGGAUAUUCACUGAACAUGACUCCUCUUUCUCCUUGCCUAAAAUUAAGCAUCCGGGCAGGGUGACCAGGCCAAACCCCAAGUCAUCUGGUGAUCAUACAGCUCAACCUUGUCCUCCUAGGGAUGAAGUGAGUAGGAUUCUAGUGCCUCCUACUGUCAUUCCGAGCCUGCUCAGGAAUAUGCACCUGGAAUCAAUUCUCCAGCAUCUGAGGAGACAACAAAGGGUCCCCCCUGCUCCUAGCAGGCUCGCCCCUCUCACACGCCUCACUCCCAACACAACCUCCCUCACUACACUCAGGGAUGCCUCCCCAUGCCCUCACUUUUAGGAAACCCACCUUUAGCAUCCAAGAAGGGCCAGUUAGUUCCAUCUCAUGGCACUCACAAAGCCCUGAUUCAGACCUCAGGCCCCGGACUGGUCACUAUUAACAGAAGGGGCUCAGUAUUGUUCCAUUUUCCUCUCAGGCAAUAUGUUCAUGGCCUGCCCUGGGGCACCUUCCAUUAUACUGUCACAUGCAAAUGUAUGUCCUGGACCCCCUGCUCUGCAUCUCCAAGAGUUGGGUCUACUUCAUCCAGGAAUUCCCUCUUCACUCCUUGGGAAGGAAGGUCCCAGCUCUUUUUAUCCCCUCCUCCAUUAGAUAGACGUUGCCACUUGUGGACAGCUCAGCAGGGGACCAACUGGGUCAGGUGGGAAAGGAGGAGAAAAUCAUUUUGCCUCUACAUUCCUUGUCUCCUUUGCAAAUAACAAGGUACUACUUUGAAUGGAUCUGAUUCCUGGGUUAAUUUUUCAAUUGGUUAAAACUCUGGGAAGAGUAGUGUGAUUUCCACUCAGUGGACUGGAAGCCUUUUGAAAACAGAAAUUGUUUCUUAUUCUCAGUAAAUAGAAAAAGUGUACACUAUUUAACAUGUGGUAUAAACAAGGCAGUGACUGUGAGAAACCCACAGAGCAACCAGCUAAAAGGGAAACACCCCACCCUACCAGAAGGGGCUCAGUAUUGCUCCCUUUUCCUCUCAGGCCCUGGAGAACUAUGGGUCUAGCUGGGCUGCAUUGAGGGGCUGAUGCCUCUUAUCUGCAAGGCUGCUUAGCACCUGCCCAUUCAACCAGAUUUGAUUCAAUUCAAUUAGACUUAAUUUCUUUCAACAACCAAGUUUUCAGAGGCUAGGCUGAGCAACUGUGUUCAAACUGCUAAAGCCCAGCUACCCAGAAAACAACCUUGGAGUGACAUGAUUCCAGAAAGAGCGCCUAAUGAAUAGGUAUUUUAACUGGGACAAGAGAUGGGAGGAGACAGAACUGCAGCCAAGUUUUGUUAUAAUUAAGGGGUUGAGUUUCUGCCUCUCAUGCCUAGACCUCAGAGCUUUACCAGGGAGAGGGAGAAUUCACAUCUCACCCCAAACAGGCCAGGCCACCUAGAGCUGCUCCUCCAAGGUGCUCAGACACAGGUGUACUUAUGCUGCUGCGGAGCUGAAACAGGAAAACUAAGGGGGGAAAGCAAAUCAAGGCAGGAAAAGAAAACAGUUAAAGCUGUUCCCUUAAGCCUUCUCUGUACUGAAAAUUUCCAAUUUUGAUAUUUUAGUUACUUUUUAAAACAUACUCAUCUAUUUUCAGAUCAUAAGACAGUAGGGAAGAGAAAAAGGUAUCAAGGAGUGCUGGUAAAAAUAAAACGUUAUGUAAAUUGCAGGAGAAACUCUACAUGUCAACUGGACCUUAUAAAGAGAGAGACAACCAGAUAAAGAGAAAAGCCCCAGCAGAAUUGAAGAAUGUUUACAUUCUUGCAACCACAAAUGAGAAGUGAGCUCAAAACCCAGUGGGAGUUUAACAAAAUACUUAAGUUCAAAGUGAGGCCGCUCUGUGCAUAUUCCCCUCCUGGUUGCCCUGGCAAUGAAACAUCUGCCUUAUAGUAAUGAAAUAUUACUGAGAAAAACCCACAAGCAAAAGAGUUUCUGGACAUAUAAGCUUGUUAUUCCUCCCACUGACAUUGGUCUUAUGAGUGUAGGAAUCAAAUUAAGUAGCUGCCUCUGCCUGUGAUCAUCCCUGUGUCACUCCCUCACACCACUGCCUGGCAGGACACCCCAGGAACCCAGGACUAGGAAUCCCCAGAGCUUAACCUCCUGGAGGCUGCCUGAGGGGUUUGGCAUUGGGGUCUUGCACUCAGGAGGGGUUAGUGAGAGUAGAACUGGAGUCCACUUGUUAGCUAGCUAAUUAAUUCUUGAGAACAUCAUGGAGAUGUCAAAAAUGAAUAAGAUGAGAUUCUUGUUCUCCAUGUGAGAAGAAAGUAGAGAGACAUACAUACAAGUAGUUGUAUAGGACUAAGAUGCCCAGUGGUUUGGGAGGCUCAGGCAGGAGGAUCACAAGUUCAAAGCCAGCCUCAGCAACUUAUUGAGACCCUAAGCAACUUAGUGAGACCCUGUCUCAAAAUAGAACAUAAAAAGGGCUGGGGAUGGGCUGGAGUUGUGGCUCAGUAGGAGAGCACUCACCUAUCACGUGCGGGGUGCUGGGUUUGAUCCUCAGCACCACAUAAAAAUAAAUAAAUAAAAUAAAGAUAUUGUGUCCAAUUACAACUAAGAAAAAUAUUUUUUAAAAAAGGCUGGGGAUGUGGCUCAGUGGUUAAGCGCCCCUGGGUUCAAUCUCUAGUACCCUCCCCCACCAAAAAAGAAGAAUGAAUUGAGGAAACAAAGUACUGUGGGAAAAGGAAUUCUUUUCCUCUUCAUUAUUCUUUUCUUAUUUAGGUCAUUUUUUUAAUAGAAAGAAACUUGUAAAAAUAAUGAAAAGGAAAAAUUUAAGUUUACUCCAAAUCAUACCAGAUAUAGAAAACCAUCAUUAACAUUGACAUUUAUGGUAUGACUUUUCAGAUUUACUUCUUAAUGAAAAUAUGUGCAUGUGUUCAAAGCAUAUGUAAACCCUUUCUGUGUGUAGAUAUAUUUUUUCUGUAACAGAAUUCUGCUAUAUACUGGAUUUUAUUUUUUGACAUCUAACAAUACACCAUAAGCAUUUUUUCAGCUGACACAAAUAUUAGCAUCAAGAUAUUUAAUAUCUGCAUUGAAUCUGUUAUUUAACCUAAAAUAAUUUAUCCAAGCAAGGAUGAGAAAUGGGAGGGUGGUGUCCUCACUUGACAUGAGGGGAUUCCACAGGCAACCCUCUGCAGUUUGCAGAGCCAGUGCUGUGUGGAUCCUGCUUGGGAAAUCCAUAGGGCAGAUGCUGGCUGGCUGGCAGCCGAUGGCUGAUCUGGGAUUAGCCAGAGCCCAGAUGCAUUUCCAUGAUUCUCACCUCAGAGGAACAAGUUGCUUGGUGAUUACAUCAACAUAAAGGUUUCAGUUGUGUUACAUAACGGGAGCUCAGACUUUCCUUGAAUGCUAAUGAGGACCCACUGGGAGGCUGAGGAGGAGAAGGAUGCUGGCAGAGUCCUGAUAUAGGAGAUGAAUCUAAUUGUGUGUAAGACAACUGAGGGAAGGAAGGAAAGAGAUCAGGAGAUCAGUGCACAGGCUCUAGUCAAAGUCUGAAGAGAAAGCUUCCCUGCUUUCACAGCAGCUAAAGGAUCUGGGUUCAGGUUCAGUCUUACCACUGAUGAACUUGAAUCAGCCACUUCACUUUCCUGAGCUUUUAAUGGCCCAUCAUUAACAUGGGCAUAAAAAAAAAUAAAAAAAAUAAAAAAUAAAAAAAAACCAAGGGGGGAUGAAAACACUAUGGAAACACUAUGGAUCUUGAUAGAGAUGAAGUUGUAUCUAUAACAUCGUGAUUGUUUUAAAUGCCACUGAAUUUCAUACUUUAGAAUGGUUAAUCCUAUGUUGUGAAUUUCACUUCAAUUAAAAAAAACAAAACCACUCCAAGAGUGUCAUGACGAUUAAGUGACAACCCUGGUGGGCUGGUUCCCAUUGCAACUCUCACAUAGGCAUAUUUGAAACUAGCCUUAUUCCCUUCCUUACACUGGCCCCUCUAGGCCUGGAUCCCUCCACAGACUUAGAGCCAACAACUUAUUUGGACCCCCUGAAUGUUUUCCACACUUGUAGUUGUAUCAGUUAUUAAAAUCUCAGUCACUGUGUGGUUCAUAAUGUCAAUGUCCUCUCUCCUGACACUCCUGCUGCUCUUCCACGGAGUGGGCCUGUGCUUGGCCAUAAGGGGUGCUUACAAGCAGGGUGUGAGACAAAUGUUGUUGACGGCUGUGAGAAGCUGUGUUUCCUGGGGCUUCUCCUGCCUGUGUCAUCACCAUUUGGCCCCUGGCCAUGGCCUCAUCCUGGUGCUGAUGCAGGGAGGGAAGGCCAUGUGUCCCCAUCUGUUUGUCAGGGGCCCACUAAAGAGGCAAUUUCCAUGCAGGUGCUGUACAAGGUCCUCAGGCAGCAGUCAGCCUGGACCCCCCAAUAUGGAGGACCCCUGAGGGGCAGCCACAUCUGUGUUAGGAUUGGGGAGUGGAAGGAGUGAAUGGGCUCUCGUCCCUCCUUUCAGAGCUGCUCUUGGCGCUAGCUCAACCAAGUGACCACAUAGGAAGCCUGAAGUCUCUCACCUCCUGUCCCCACCACUCAGCUAAUGUCUAUGCUUCCUUUUGUAGGUCCUCCCUGCUCUUAGUUCCCUAGCUGCUUAGAGGGAAAGUCAUUGUGCUGAAUUCCAAUGUGGACUGGAACUUGCUUUCUCACUCACCACUAGUUAAGAGACGUAUUUAAAUUUACUCCCCAUCUGGCUUUAUGCUUGAUUCUUGAUCGAUUCCAGACCAACAUUUUCUUUCCCUGACUCAAUGAGGACAGAUGACAUCUGUGGUUUACCGCUCCUCCCUCAUUUGUCCCUGGUUUCUUAUGUUCAUUACAUGACGGACUCUAGGAAAAUAGUCAUUGAGAAAAAUAGAUGGUGAAGAGAAGAGAGAGAGCAAAAAGAGAUCAUCUUCACCCUCAGGCUAGCUCUUGUCAGUGGAGAACACAUCCACCAGCCCCUGAGACACUUACUUGCCAGCACUUCAGACAUGCUGGCUCUUCUGGAGGGAGCUGUCAUGGGAAGUCUGAUGUGACAAAGUUGGUGCUCUGCAUAAAGGAGUGGAAAAGGCUGAGAGAUGAGUCUCAAGCCCCCUGGCCUCCUCCCAGCUAAAGCUGUGUCUGCACCAAAAUCACACUGCAGGAAAUGGUCAUGUCCUCUCUACCUGCAGGGACCUCCCCUGACUCUUUUCUGCAUGAAGAGCAGGAUCCUACCUGUGUCUCCAGGAAGCUUUUCCCACCUCUCUAUGGAUCUUAUAUAUUGUGCCCAGGGUCCAGGAGAUGUCUGAUGCAGAAGGGCAGAGUGCUUCCUCUCUGUCCUGCAAUAAUGUCCCUGUGAGAGUCACCGUGUAUUGCAUGUAAAUAAGCUAUAAAGUAAAAAAUAACAUUAAAAAUAACACUUAUCUGGCUGUGUUUCAUUAGUUGCUUUCACCUGUACCUGAGCUAUGAGUUCUUCAAAGACAAUGAUGCUUUACUAAACAUACAACAAACAAAAAGAAGUAUCAACACCUAUCACACAAUGCUGGACACAAAGUAGGCACUUGACAGACAUGGAAGACAGGGGAGCUGCCUUUCCACAGGCAAAUCCUGAGUGGGAAGGUGACACCUGGCUCUUUAGAGCAGCUUUGCCUGAGUUGAAGCCCCUGCUAUAGAUUCCUAUGGUCUUGCUUGUCUUGGCCUAUUCCUAAUAACUCUUACUACCAACUCUACAGAUCCCUGGAACCUCCCACUCUCAGCCAGCACUUGACCAUGAUCUCUUUCCUCAGUUUCUCCUGCCACCGGCCACCAGCUUCUCCAGCUGGACCUUUCAUGGCUUCCCCAGCACUGACCACUGUAUGACUGCCUUGGGUUUUCUUAUUAAGCCAUGCUGUGGGCCUAAUGUUUGUCUCAAAACUCAAUAAAUGGAUGCAUGGAUAUUAGAUUUACAGAGAACAUCAGCUCUGUGAACUGAUGGGCCUGGGAUAGGGGAAAGAACACAGGCAGACCUGCUUCUAAUCCUGGCUCAGCCACUAACUAGCUGUAUGACCAUGACUAGUUACUGACCUUUGAAACUCAGUUCUCUCAUCACUAAAACAACAACCAUGGGUUACCGUGAAGAGUCAAUAACAUGACCCAUAUUAAACUUCAUGACCAUGUGUCUGACACAUGGCACAUUCUCGAAAAUUGUUUUUCUUUCCCUUCCUCUUUUCUGCAAAGAUCUCUGCUGAAUCUAAAUUUCCAACAGCCUUUGAAACCCAUGCUCCCUUAUUAAAUUAUAACUUAGGAAGGUCACUGCGCUGCAAGAAAGUUUAUCUUUUGAAGAUGAAUAAGGAUCCCAGAUGACAGGGACAACCAUUGUGCCCCACAUUACCCUGGAAAAGAUUUCUCAUUCCCAGUUCAAAUUCCAACAGAUAAGGAAAGGGCAUCAAAGACCAUCAAAGUUUACAAAUCACACUUGACAAAAUGAAAACAAUCUAUAGGGAAGUCCUGAGUGAGUGAAAACCUAGGGAGGCCUGGAAAUGACCCUAGGGCUACGAGGGACAAUGGCCUUAGAAUAGAGUAGUCUGCAAACAACUGGGAGCAAAUGGCUCAGCCAGGCUCUACCUGGGCUCUCUGAUGCAGACUCCCUCAAGAACAGAAGGGAGGCAUGGAGGGCAGCAUGUGCCUUGGCCUUCUUCAGAGAGGUGAAAUGAAUUGAUUUUGGAGAUGCCAAACUGAGUACAAAGAGCAGGGGAAGCAGUAGCGUCACCUUGCUAUUAACAGAGCUGUGGUUCUAAGUGAGGUCCCAGGACCAGCAGCAGCAGCAGCAGCAGCAGCAACAGAAAAUCUGGGUUGUUAGAAAUGCAGAUUAGUAGAUACCACCUUAAUUAAUAAGACUUUAUGAAUAAGAAACUCUGGGAUUGCUGAGCAAAUUGUAUUUUAAUAAGUCUACUGGGAGUUUUGAUGCAUCCUAAAAACUGAGAUCCACUGAGGUGGUAGAUACUUUUGUACAUUGUCCUCCCCAUUAUGACAUGGUGGGAGGUGGCAUGACACUGGAAUGGACACAAAUUUUAUAGACAAGAUUUGAAUUCAAAUGUUUUUUCUGCUCCUAAGUGGCAGUGGCACCUUGAAUAAACCCAUCAAUCUCUCAGAAAAUUGAUUUCCUUGAACACAAGAAAUCUACCUCUUGGGGUUGUGUUUAGGUUUGGAAAGAAUGGAAAGGAAGCAUUUUUCAGAGCGGCAAACACACCACAGGUACGCAUCUCAUUAUCAUCCUCAUCACCUCCAUGAUUAUGAAGAAGUCAAGUGAGAACUGUAGGUGCAUUUAUGGAAAAUCAUCAGGCCUCCGAAUGCUAUUUGGUGCCAUGGCUACAUCCUCAUUAAGCUAGGAAGAUGUGGGGAUAACAUUCCCUUUCCAAAUUUGAUAAGAAACCAAUUCCCAUCUACUUUGGAUAUCAUAAUUAUAAGCAUCAUGUGUUCCCUCUCUUCCCCCUUUCCCUUUUCCUUUCACAUAAGUCUCUUAAGCACACAUUAGCCCAGGGUAAAUAUUUGUUGAGUGUCAAAUGAAUGGAUUACCUCAAUUUGCCUUAAUAUGCCCUACUAUUGUGCAAUACAAAGAGCCAAAGAGGCCUUAAGCCUCCUGUGGUGAAAUCACAGUAGCAUGGUCAUAGCACACACCCAAGGGCUGGCAGGAAAUCUUGGGAAAUCAGGCACAGUGGGGACUGAAAGAGACCAAGUUGACUAGGACAGGUAAAAUAAAGGUGAUUUUCCAAAUUUACAUUGUAGUGGCUAGUAGUACCUCCAUCCCUGGCAUUCCAUGUGUUCCCUUCUGCCCUGUUUUCUAGAUCAGCCUGGGGUUUGUCCUUGCUAAUCAGCCCAUUGUCCUAUGUCCUCUGCAACACAGAGCAAACUGGAACCAGAACACCAAAACUGGCCUGCCAUUUUGCCUCUGGGAGGUGUAAUUGUAACUAUUGCUCUUCUAGUCAAAGGGCAUUAAUAAGGGAGCAUGCGUUUCAAAGGCUCACAGAAAUUUAGAUUCAGCAGAGAUCUUUCUGGCCAAAGGGCAUUAAUUCAUUCAAGCCUUUAGCUGCUGCUUCUCCCUCCAGUUGCCAAAGUAGUCACCCUGUGGGCUCCCUGACUCCUAUCUGACUUUUCUCCAUUCAUCUUCAGCCUACAUCUCAUCACAUCAAGUCCCACUGCCUUGGCAGAGCAUUCAAGGUCCUUUGCUAUUGGGCUCAGCUUAUAUGUUCAUCUUUAUUGCUCAGAGCCAGUGUUGCAGUCAAGGCUGCUCCUUGCCUGCUAGUAGGCUUCUUUUCAUUCUUCCUGGCCACUGCCCAAAAGGCUUUUCCUUCUAUUGACUGCCUGGAAGACUGUGACACUUCUUUUUAGAAACUGCCCAAAUUCAGUGGGCUCACCACCACCUGGUAGCUUCCUGAAGUCUUCAUGGAGCCUGAAAUUAAUUCCCCUUUUCUCCUUUUUCUCCACCUACAACUUCCUAGUCUCCUUCCAGAAUUGGAUCUACUAUCUCUUUUAAGCUUUCUAAAAUAUAAUUUUUAACAUAAUUUCAGACUUAAACUUGUACUUGCAAAAUAGUACAACAAAUUCUAAUAUAGUUUUUACCCAGAUUCUCUAAAUUCUUUAGCCACAUUUGCCUUAACCUUCUAUUUUUCUAUAUAUCUAGAGAUAUAAUCUUAUUUUUUCCUGAAUGGCCUGUGUACAGAUAUUAUUUCCCUUUACUCCUUCAGUAUGUUUGUUUUCUAAAACCAAGGAUAUUUUCAUAUUAAUUACAGAUAAGUAUCAAAAUUAGGAAGUUAACUUUGAUACCAACUAUUAUCUAAUCUAUAUAUCUUAUCAAAUUUCACAAACUGUCCCAAAAAAAUUCUUUAUAGAGAAAGAAAGGCUUAGGUCAUGCAUGCAUCAUAUUAAGUCAUCAUGUGCCUUUCAUAGCCUUCAAUAUAAAAUAGUUCUGUAGUCUUUUUGUUUUCCUGACAGUUGAAAUUUCUGAAACAUCUAUGCUGAUAUUUUAUAGGAAACACCUCAUUUUGUGUUUGAUGUUUCCUUACGAUGAGUUCAUAAUUUGGCAGGAGUAUCCCAGGUUGUCUUGGUGUGUUAUAGUAUGAGAUAUAAGAUGUUGAUUUAUUCUGCUUUUCUUGAUGUUAACAUUGGUCACUAGGUGGGUUUGUUGACAUGUCUGACUCCUCCCCUGGCCCAAGAGGCCCUUCUCAACAUCAACAAGGACAUACUGAAAUCUUGGUACCUGAGUAUUUAGGGACACAAGUAGGUAAAGGACAAACACCUGAACCCCUGCCAUGUAUCUGGUUUUGUGGUUGCUUCUCAUUUGAGACUCAUAGCAACCCUAUAAUUUAGAGGUUGCUAUGCUCAUUUUACAGGUAUGUUCAGUUAAGAUGAGCAAUUUGCCUAAAGGCACUUAACUGGUAAGUAGAAGAGCUGGAUUCAAAUCCAGAUCUGACUGCUACUUCUCAUAACAACAAUACCCUGGAGCCAAUAGAUCUAGUCAACAACAUUUGACUGUUUAAAAAAUAAAACAUACAGAGAAAAAGUUAAUACCAAGAUCACCAAAAAAUUUAACACCCUCCUCUAUCAGUGAAGUUGCUUUUUAUUCAUUUAUCCCUUCAAUAAAUAUUUAGUACUAUGUAUCAGAUAGUGUUAUAUAUAAUAUGGAUAUAAUGGUGAACAGCUUACUUGCUAGCAGGACUCUGCAAGUCCCAGAAAAUCCAACUAGAGUGGGUUAAACGAUAAGAAAGCUAGUGGGAAUGCAACUAAAAUGGUUGGUUAACUUAGCAGCCCACAGAAAUCGUGGCUAAGGUUGGAUUCACUGAGAUUCUCUCAGCUUUCCUUUAGGGGCUGCGAGAUGUUUGUAAGUUUUAAGCAAGACAAUGUCAAAGGAAACAAAGGGAACAUUCCCAUCAUUGCCCCUUUAUAUGAGCAAAGAAAACCCUUCUAGUUGACUUCCUUUCUACCUCACAGAACUACAUCCCCACUUGGCAAGAGGAAGGGACUGUCCUGCCUGGCAUAGAAAAUCUGAAUUUGCACCCCCACCACCCACUCAGACCACCUCUAGGCUCAAGCUUCCCCAAAACAUUUGGUCAUUAGAAGAGCAGGACAAUGGACAAAACUGCAACUUCUUCUUUUAAGAAGAAAAGAGUCGGCUGCUGAGUAGGUAACUGACAAUAUUGGUUAAAUUUCCUAUCUACUAAUUUACCAAAUAUUGAGAUUCUGUGGCUUCUUAGAAACUCUUGUUUAGACAAAUAUAAGUUUUCCUCAUUGCUAUUCCUUACAUUCAUUACAUUAAGUUCUGCUUAUUUUAUUUACUGUUAAGUCAUUUAAUGUUGCUCUAUCAUUUUAUCUCUUGUCUCAUUCUAAAAUAUGGUCUUCUUUCCAUAAAAUAUGGUAGCCAAGUAAGGCUUUAAAAGUACUUAAUAACUGGUACUAAGAUGUAAACUCACCAGUGUCCCAGAGAGGGUUCUAGAGGCUGCUGGGCCAGGUAUUUACCAUUCACUUGCUAGAUCUGGGAAUGUCCUAGAGCAGCCCAUUAGUAGAAGGGCAAGGAAAGUAGGGGAAGCCCAGGCCUUCCUGUGUACCAACAAGUAUAGAAAUACUUAUUUUACUUAUUUUUUAAGAGAAAAGACAUAUGUUUUAUUUGGUAACAAGAAGUAUAAAUGAAUUCUUAACUCCACUUCUCCUUUCUGGUGCUAACCUGAAGUCUUAAUAGUCAAAGAAGAGCAACACACAACAACUCCCUUGCAGAUCUUGAUUUUUGCAGAAUUGCAAAGAUAUCUGUACAACUUGCAGUAAUUUUUUAAAUGGAUGUGCCAACUGUUGUGCUUUCCCCUAUAUCAAUGGUUGCUUCAUUCUCCUCCUCUUCUUGUCUUCAGGU
rnacentral:lncRNA from 1 species